AUACUUACUGGACGGGUCAAUGGGCUGAUCAACAAGGGCCUAUGGCCUAAGGUCAGUGACUUCCAUUGCAGCUUGGGAGGGGUGCUGGUCUAAGGUCUCCUCAAAGUAUGGGUGGGGGGGGGGGUGGAGAGCCUACGUCAUAAUUUGUGGCAUGUGGGGGCCUCCGUUCUGCGCGGCCCCUUC